rnacentral:misc_RNA from 1 species
UAUAACUGUCAUCAGCUACUCUCCUUCAAUUACAAUAGCCUUUCCCUCUUUUUUAUUCCUAAACUUCUUCCGAUAAUAUGUAACAAUACCUCUCCCAUUACCACAUUCUUGUCCCCAAGAAUGUAAAAAUUCAGGGAAUUGAGCUAAAAGAGAAGCUUGAUCUUCCCAAGUAGCAUCUUCAGCAGGUAGAUUAGCCCAUUUAAUGAGGCCUUGAAGCACAUGCUGCUGGUCUCUUAUAAUAACUCUUGUCUGUAAAACCUUCUCAAGAGCAACAAUAACUCUUUCCUCUAUCAUUGUUGAUAAUUCCGUCAGAGGAGUUACUUUAUCUCCUAGUUUCCUCUUUAAAAGAGAAACAUGGAAGACAGGGUGUAUAGAGGAACUAGGUGGCAACUGCAAUCUGUAGGCCACUGAGCCAACCCUUUCCAACACUAGAUAUGGACCAUAAUACUUGGCAGCAAGCUUCAAUAAAAUCCCAAGGGCAAUAGAAGAUUGCCUGUAAGGUUGAAGUUUCAAAUAGACACAAUUUCCCACAGCAAACUCCCUUUCACUUCUCUUUUUAUCGGCUUGAUGCUUCAUUCUCUGUUGUGCAAAUGAUAAAUUUUCCUUAAGAAUAGAAUUCAUAUGUUGCCGCUGUUCCAAAUAUUCAGCUACAGCCCCAACAGCAGGCAACUCUGUUGGAAUUACUGGCAGAAAUGGAGAAGAAUACCCAUAAAGAGCUUCAAAAGGGGACAUCUUAAUUGCACUGUGAUGAGAAGAGUUGUACCACCAUUCUGCUAACGAAAGCCAUUUACUCCAAGAAGAAGGUUGCAAGUGACACAUGCAUCUCAAAUAGGCCUCCAAGCACUGAUUUAAUCUUUCAGACUGCCCAUCAGUUUGAGGGUGAUAUGCUGUGCUAAAAGCAAGUGUAACCCCCAAACAUUUAAAGAGAUCCUUCCAAAAGAGACUAGUGAAAAUCUUGUCUCUAUCUGAAAUAAUAGAUUGAGGAAUGCCGUGAAGUUUAAACACAGAAUCCAUAAAAAUUUUGGCUACUGAAGAAGCUGUAAAUGGAUGUGUUAAGGGAAGGAAAUGGGCAUAUUUUGUCAAUCUGCAAAUAACUACUAGAAUAGUAUCUUUCCCAUUUGAUUUUGGCAAAUGCUCUAUGAAAUCCAUAGAAAUUUGUUGCCAAGGUUGAGUAGGAAUCUCCAAUGGUUGCAAUAAACCAGGGGAAGCACAAUGCUUAGAUUUGCACCUAGCACAAGUAUC